rnacentral:rRNA from 1 species
AUGGCGAAUGCGAGAGCUCGACCCACCAUAGCCAUGGCCAUCGUCCUCCUCGCCACGCUCUCGGCCUCCCACACCGCGUCAUGCCUGGUUCGGCCGCACGACGUCGUCGGCUGCCAGCCCAGCGGGUACCUCCCGGGCAGGUCCGGGCACUGCGAGACGAGCAACAGCCCGGACUGCUGCGUCGACGGCAAGCAGUACCUGCAGUUCCUCUGCUCGCCGCCCGUCUCCUCCGCCACCUGGGCCGUCCUCACGGUCAACGGCUUCGGCAAGGGCAAGGACGGCGGCCUCCCAUCCGAGUGCGACGGCGCGUACCACGACGACUCGGAGAUGGUCGUCGCGCUCUCCACCGGCUGGUUCAGCGGCAUGUCCCGCUGCGGCCGCAGCAUCAAGAUCACGGCGAAGGGCGGCAGCUCCAUGCACGCCAAGGUGGUGGACGAGUGCGACUCCGUCCACGGUUGCGACGCCGAGCACAACUACGAAGAGCCAUGCGCCUACAACGUCGUGGACGCCUCGCCGGCAGUGUGGGACGCCCUAGGCCUCGACCAUAUCAUCGGUUUGCAGGAUGUCACCUGGUCUGAUGAGUAA